CGAACGCAUGGCCUGAUUAUUUGUUGGAGCACUCUUCUUCUCUGGCUGCUUCAUACUUGCUCAGUCCCUUCAAUUGCCAAAAGAAAGUUUUUGAUGAGCUUGAAAUGAUGAUGAUGAAAAACAAAGGUGUUGGAGUUGAAGAAAUAUUAUAAAGAAUCUUUAGUUGGGAUUGGCAGCAGGCAGCAGCUUCUUCUUGAACUUUAAAAAACUUUUAGAUAAUACUUUUUAUUAUUCUUCAAUUCUGUACUCUUUUUCUCACACACGGAUAUCUAUAGAUAUAGAGAUAUAUAUGGUCUUGUUAUAAAAGUACUGCUGAAAAAAAGUGACGGUGAAAGGUGGGGAAUGGCAAACCAAGGCAAAUAGUUCUGCCAUCCAAAUUUGUUGUAAUAAAUUAUUUGUUGGAUAUUUUAUCGACAAUCAUAGGUUUUUGAAAUAAA